rnacentral:rRNA from 1 species
GAUGAACGCUGGCGGCGUGCCUAACACAUGCAAGUCGAGCGAUUCUCUUCGGAGAAGAGCGGCGGACGGGUGAGUAACGCGUGGGUAACCUGCUCUGUACACACGGAUAACAUACCGAAAGGUAUGCUAAUACGAGAUGAUAUAUAAAAGUUGCAUGACUUUCAUAUCAAAGCUUUUGCGGUACAGGAUGGACCUGCGUGUGAUUAGCUAGUUGGUAAGGUAACGGCUUACCAAGGGGACGAUCAGUAGCCGACCUGAGAGGGUGAUCGGCCACACUGGAACUGAGACACGCCCCAGACUCCUACGGGAGGCAGCAGUGGGGAAUAUUGCACAAUGGGCGAAAGCCUGAUGCAGCAACGCCGCGUGAGCGAUGAAGGCCUUCGGGUCGUAAAGCUCUGUCCUCAAGGAAGAUAAUGACGGUACUUGAGGAGGAAGCCCCGGCUAACUACGUGCCAGCAGCCGCCGUAACAC